rnacentral:tRNA from 1 species
CGGGGUGGAGUAUGCCGGUAGUACGCGCCCAUGGGGUGGGUGUAGACGGAGUUCAAUUCUCCGCACCCCGACC